rnacentral:rRNA from 1 species
AGAGUUUGAUCCUGGCUCAGGACGAACGCUGGCGGCGUGCCUAAUACAUGCAAGUCGAACGCUUUUUCUUUCACCGGAGCUUGCUCCACCGAAAGAAAAAGAGUGGCGAACGGGUGAGUAACACGUGGGUAACCUGCCCAUCAGAAGGGGAUAACACUUGGAAACAGGUGCUAAUACCGUAUAACAAGUAAAACCGCAUGGUUUUACUUUGAAAGGCGCUUUUGCGUCACUGAUGGAUGGACCCGCGGUGCAUUAGCUAGUUGGUGAGGUAACGGCUCACCAAGGCAACGAUGCAUAGCCGACCUGAGAGGGUGAUCGGCCACAUUGGGACUGAGACACGGCCCAAACUCCUACGGGAGGCAGCAGUAGGGAAUCUUCGGCAAUGGACGAAAGUCUGACCGAGCAACGCCGCGUGAGUGAAGAAGGUUUUCGGAUCGUAAAACUCUGUUGUUAGAGAAGAACAAGGAUGAGAGUAAAAUGUUCAUCCCUUGACGGUAUCUAACCAGAAAGCCACGGCUAACUACGUGCCAGCAGCCGCGGUAAUACGUAGGUGGCAAGCGUUGUCCGGAUUUAUUGGGCGUAAAGCGAGCGCAGGCGGUUUCUUAAGUCUGAUGUGAAAGCCCCCGGCUCAACCGGGGAGGGUCAUUGGAAACUGGGAAACUUGAGUGCAGAAGAGGAGAGUGGAAUUCCAUGUGUAGCGGUGAAAUGCGUAGAUAUAUGGAGGAACACCAGUGGCGAAGGCGGCUCUCUGGUCUGUAACUGACGCUGAGGCUCGAAAGCGUGGGGAGCAAACAGGAUUAGAUACCCUGGUAGUCCACGCCGUAAACGAUGAGUGCUAAGUGUUGGAGGGUUUCCGCCCUUCAGUGCUGCAGCUAACGCAUUAAGCACUCCGCCUGGGGAGUACGACCGCAAGGUUGAAACUCAAAGGAAUUGACGGGGGCCCGCACAAGCGGUGGAGCAUGUGGUUUAAUUCGAAGCAACGCGAAGAACCUUACCAGGUCUUGACAUCCUUUGACCACUCUAGAGAUAGAGCUUCCCCUUCGGGGGCAAAGUGACAGGUGGUGCAUGGUUGUCGUCAGCUCGUGUCGUGAGAUGUUGGGUUAAGUCCCGCAACGAGCGCAACCCUUAUUGUUAGUUGCCAUCA